GUUUUAAUAAUUUAUUUAAAAUAUCGGUCUUGUAAACCGAAAAUAAGAUUUAUUCUUUUAAAACU
rnacentral:tRNA from 3 species